UAUAUCUUCUUGUUAACAGUUGGUAAAUACAAUUCGGUAUACGUAUGUUACAUAUACGGUUUUUCUAUUGAAAAAAAAAAUCUUUGUUAUUUUUAUAGAAAUAGUUUGUGCUAAUUUUACGCAUAUAUAGUGAGUUUCGCUGCCAAAUAUAGUGAGCUGCCAUAUACGGUGAGCUAUCAAAUACGGUAAGUUGCGAAUAUGGUAAGGUGCAAAUACGAUAUAUUACAUAUACGGUAAGCUUCCUGUAAAUACGAUAAGUUGCAUAUACGGUAUAUUGCAUAAUGCUUAAAAUCGAUAUCUAAACUACAUAUAUUGUAUGCGAUAAUCCGAUUUCAUUAACACCACUAUAUUCCAACAUGAGUAUGUGUGUGUUAGUAUAUAAAUAACUUCAUGAAUCAUGAUAUCCAAGGUUAGAUUGAAAGAUUAUCAUUAACGUGCAUCUGUUAAUCAAAUUCAUGCUGAUAUCUGUAGAAACUGCAAUACACAAUUUGGUACUUUGAUACCCUUUUGUGGGUUGAUGAUUUUCUUGACAUUGGCAGGACUUGAAGCGAGCAAGAAUUGAAGUUGUUAAAUCAACUCAAUAAAAGCAUCCCAGGGUGUCAUGAACUCAGUUGGCAAGAUGCAUCUCGUGACUGCUGAGAAGUUAAGACCUUUGUUUCUGUAUGCGUAUUAUUCGGAUAAGUAAGUGUAAUAAAAAGUAUUGUUCCACAAGUUUAUAUCAAUAAUAGAAUGUUCAUUACUUCUCGAUGUCUAAUUAUGUAGUACUAUUGUACACCUGGUAAUUUUAAGAAUUGUAAAACCCCUCGCUAAUUCAUAUUGUUCUAUAGUGAGUUCAUAUCUUGCCAAUGGGGAGAAAAAUUUAAGCAUGGAUGCAAGUGAUUCACGUUUUGGAUUGUUCCACCAUUCCUAGAUCAUGUUGGAUGAAAUGAUGCGGUUGA
rnacentral:lncRNA from 1 species